rnacentral:rRNA from 1 species
AUUGAACGCUGGCGGCAGGCUUAACACAUGCAAGUCGAGCGGAGCGAGGGUGCUUGCACCUUAGCUUAGCGGCGGACGGGUGAGUAAUGCUUAGGAAUCUGCCUAUUAGUGGGGGACAACAUUCCGAAAGGAAUGCUAAUACCGCAUACGCCCUACGGGGGAAAGCAGGGGAUCUUCGGACCUUGCGCUAAUAGAUGAGCCUAAGUCGGAUUAGCUAGUUGGUGGGGUAAAGGCCUACCAAGGCGACGAUCUGUAGCGGGUCUGAGAGGAUGAUACGCCACACGGGGAAUGGGGCAAGGCCCAGACUCCUACGGGAGGGAGCAGUGGGGAAUAUUGGACAAUGGGCGGAAGCCUGAUCCAGGCAUGCCGCGUGUGUGAAGAAGGCCUUUUGGUUGUAAAGCACUUUAAGCGAGGAGGAGGCUCUUAAGGUUAAUACCCUUGAUGAGUGGACGUUACUCGCAGAAUAAGCACCGGCUAACUCUGUGCCAGCCGCCGCAGUAAAAC